rnacentral:tRNA from 1 species
GAUUAAAUGGCUGAAAUUAGGCAAUAGACUGUAAAUCUAUUUAUGAGAGUUAUUCUCUUUAAUCA